UGGAGAAAGAAAAGGAGAAAGAAGAGGCUAAAGUUCCAAUCUCAACUUCCAUAGAGAUUGAAAUUGAAGAGGAAGUUGUAAUGCAUGAAUCUAAUGUAGUUGUUGAGAAUUCCAUCAAUGAACUUAUAGAAGAGGUUGUGAAUGAUGAGGGACAAGGGGAGCACAUGAUUGAUGAGGUGGAGGAGGCGAAUGAGACUGUUUUGGAAGUUGUAGAGGAGAAUGGGUCACAUCCACAAGAUCUUUCUAUGACUAAUUUUUUUAUGCCUAGUUUAUUUGUUCUUGAUGUGCCGGUUGUUGAUGAAAACAUUCAUGACGGAAGUUUUAUCCUAUUUCCACCAUUUCAAAAGGAGGUCUUUGAAGAUACAUGGGUUCUUAAAGCUUCCCUUUUUUACAUAAAUAUCAGCAAGAUUCGAGGACGAAUCUUUUCUAAAGAAGGAGAGAAUGAUACAGAUCCAAUAGGGCAAAUUUCUAACAAUGGUGUGGAGCAAACUUAUGUCAUUCAAAUGGAUCUAAAAGGAGUUCAAAAUCAUAUUCAUAUGAUCCAUAUAUAUUUGGGGCGUGCUUCAACUUAUAUGGGACAGAUUUGGUACAACAUUUGCAAUCAUAGGCUUAGGGAGCCUAAUCAAACCUAUGGGCUAAAAUUACACAAAGGGAAGGCUAAAGUGAAGAUCAAGUAAGGCUUUUGUGAAGAUUCAGCUUUAUUAUGAUGGGCUUGCUAUAUUUUUAUUAUUUAACACUUGUUUUAUUUUAGCUUUGUUUGGGCUUUUAUUCUGGCCAUACUUUAUCUUUUAAGUUUUAGAGUGUUGGGCCAUGUUUUGGGCUUAUAUUUUAAUACUUAUGUGUUAUUUUAGUGUGUGAUUGGGCUUGGGCAUUAUGUGUUUAAGUCAGGUCCAAGAAGAGUGUCUUAGGGUUUUAUUUGUUUUUCUCCUUACUAUAUAAGGAUAAGAAACAAUUGUAAGAGGAGGUUUUUAAUCAAAAUUUCAGAAUUCUUUUCAUGCCUUUGGCGUGUAUUGCUUUGAGUGAGGGUGAGGAUUUGCUUUCAUCAUUUGCACCUUCUUGAUCAUUAAUCAUCAAAAAAGAAAAAUUCGAAAUCUAAAAAAAAACGAAAAAUAAAAUCGCCUUUGCCAUAUUUAUCUUGAUCUGGCCAAAAUUGUGAUAUGCUUCCUUUUUCAUCCAUAUUUCCUUACCUAUCUCAAUUGAUUGCUGUAGUUUAUGGAAAUCAAUUUUGAAUUUUGAAUUGGGUUGAAUCCAGAUUAAUAGACAAAAGAAAUCUGCCUAUUUCUUAAGGUGCACAUUUAAGGCAACUGCAUCUAAAUCGAUUUGGUGUCAAAUCCAUCUUUUAAUGCCCAUUUUCGUCCAUGAUGCUGCACUGAGUGAGAUUUUUUUUUUUAGUCUAUUUGUGGGGUUUUGAUACUUGCCUUUUUGGGUAGAUUUAAAUAGAUCCGUAUUUAAUUUGCGUUGAAACGAAUUAAAUUCAAACUUUUGUCCAGAUUCGUUUUUAUUUGAAUUCAAAGUUUCGUUUUUGGUUUAAGCUUGCUUUUACUUCCUUGACAUUGCUGGAGUAUUGUUUGCUUGUGUCUAUACUCUAGGUGAUAUUUUUCAAGUAGCACAAAACCUAGUUUGUGUGUUACUUUCCAAAUUGUCAGUGUCUUCUUUCUAGUUUUUGUGCGCUUCCUUCUUUCUUUAGGUUUUCUUCUUUGUUUUAUUAAACGCACCUUGUGGUUAGUUGGUUGACCUUAUUUUCUGAAGUACAAUUGAAGAAUCAGCAAAAGAGUGGUAAGUGUGCAGACACUUGAGUGCUUUCUUUCUAACACAAUAUUUGCUAGUUCUCUUUGUUCUUUGUUGAUUUAAGGUAGGAUGAGUAAAGACAAGAAUGUGGUGGAUAGUACUGGUGAAAGUGAAUCGGACAUGGGUAACGAGUAUGAGAUCUUUAAGAAAUCAGUUAGUGGUGAGUUACAAAGGCUCAGUAGGGCUCUUGAGACGAUGACCGUAAGUAUGGAGAGUUUGAAAGUCUCACAGGCUUCCACUUCUACAAGAAUGGCCCAUCGAAUUCUUAACCCCGAUAGACCACAAGUUCGAGAACCUCAAGUUCGAGGUGAAGUUGAUGAUACAGAAGAUAUUGUCGGACAAGGAAGGGGGAGAGGAGAAGUUCAUGGAGGUAAUAGAACUAGCGUAGGGUGGAAGAGAGGUGGAGAUGCUAGACUUGGCAGAAAUGAUGAUGACACCGAGACAUACCAAACCAACACAAUUGAUGGUGACUUGAGCUACAUAAAGAUGAAAGUUCCUGAAUUUAAAGGGAAUAACAAUGCUGAAUAAUACAUUGAAUGGGAGAGAAAAACUGAGCAAAUAUUUGAGUGUUAUAACUAUACCGAGGAGAAGAAGUCUCAUAUCGCCGCCGUUAAGUUCACGGGUUAUGCCUCUUUCUGGUGGGAUCAAUUGAAAUCCACUAGGAGGAAUAAGGGCUUAAGGGCAGUUCCACCGUGGGACUACUUGAAAGAGUUGAUGCGCCAAAGAUUUAUUCCUUCGCACUAUUAUAGGGAUUUAUACAACAGGUUGGCAAGACUAGUGCAAGGAGGAAAGAGUGUGGAAGAAUACCACAAGGAGAUGGAGAUGAUGAUGGCUAGGGCUCAUAUUGAGGAGGAUGAGCAAAUGUUGAUGUCCAGAUUUCUAGGUGGUCUUAACCACUACAUUGCUGAAUAACUUGACAUGUACCAAUACAAUACCAUGGAGGAUAUGGUAGAUAAAGCAAUGAAAAUAGAAAGGCGACACAAGGGCAGAAAUAAUCUUAAACUCACAUACAAGUCCUCAAAUAGUGGUGGUGGAUUUCCAGGCUAUAGAAGUGGAGAAAAGAAAGAUUACAAAAGCUCAAUCCAAGGGGGCAAAGAUUCGAUCCCCACUAACAAAGGAUCUUCUCAAGGGAAUAACAAGGAACAGUCAGGUGCUUCUAACUCUUCUAACCCUAAUAGAGAGAUAAAAUAUUUUAAAUGUUUGGAAAAAGGACAUAUUGCAUCUCAAUGUCCUAAUAAAAGUGUUAUGAUAGCAACUGCUGAUGGGGGUGUAGUGUCUGAUUCUGAUCAUAGUGAUGAUGAGAUAUAUGCUAAUAUGACUGAAUUGAUUGAUGCUCAUAAUGACUGUGAUGAUUCGGAUGUGUUUGUUGAUAAUGUGUUGCUUGCUGAAUGUGGUGAGAUGCUUGUUGCUAGGCGUGCUUUGAAUAUCCAGGUUAAGGAAGAAAGCCUAGAACAACGGGAAAACAUAUUUCACACUAGGUGUUUGGUUAAUGGAAAAGUGUGUACUCUCAUUAUUGAUGGGGGUAGUUGCACAAAUAUGGCUAGUGUGUAUAUGGUGGAGAAAUUGGGUUUGACUUCUAUUAAACACCCUAAGCCAUACAGAUUGCAAUGGUUGAAUGAUUGUGGUGAGGUUAGGGUUACACGCCAAGUGCUUAUACCAUUUUCUAUUGGUAGGUACAAGGAUGAGAUCUUGUGUGAUGUGGUACCUAUGCAGGCAAGCCAUAUGUUAUUGGGUAGGCCGUGGCAAUAUGAUAGAAAGGUGCAACAUGAUGGGUUCAAUAACAAGUACUCCUUUACUUAUGAAGGAUAGAAGGUUAUACUCGCUCCUUUAUCACCUCAAGAGGUAUAUGCUGAUCAAAUAAAGAUGCUGGAGAGGGAGAGGGAGGCUUCGGCCUUGGCUACAAAGGGGAGUGAGAGCUUGAGUUCUGCGGUAAAAAUGAAAGAAAAGUGUGAGUCUGAGGGUAAAGAGGCUGGAAAAGAAUCAAGACUAAUAAAUGGUCCAUUGGUGAGAGAAGAGAUGCAAGAGGGGAAGGCAAAACAGACAUUUUAUGUGAGAGCGAGAGAGGCUAAGAGUGCUAUAUCUUUGGGGCAGCCCAUGUUGCUUAUAAGAUAUAAGGAGAUUUUAUUUGCCGACACUGAUAUUAACCUUUCUUCUUUGCCUUCUAGUUUUAAGUCUAUGAUGCAGGAAUUCACUGAUGUCUUUCCAGAUGAGCUACCUAAUGGAUUGCCACCGUUGAGGGGGAUUGAGCAUCAGAUAGAUUUCAUACUUGGUUCUAGCAUUCCAAAUAGACCAGCUUACCGAAGCAAUCCAAUGGAAACAAAGGAAAUGCAAAGGCAAAUUGACGAGCUUAUGGAGAAGGAAUUGGUGAAGUCUUUACAUGAGAAGGCUAGGUCUAACAUAGAGAAGAGGAACAAGGUGUAUGCUGACAGGGCAAAUAGGAGACGGAAGAAAGUGGUGUUUGUUCCUGGUGAUUGGGUUCGGGUGCACUUUUGAAAGGAACGAUUUCCAAAUCAGAGGAAGAAUAAGUUGGAUGCUCGUGGUGAUGGUCCAUUUCAAGUCUUAGAGCGAAUCAAUGACAAUGCUUAUAAAAUAGACUUGCCAUGUGAGUAUGGGGUUAGUGCUACCUUUAAUGUGUCUGACUUGUCUCCUUUUGACCAUGUUCCAGAUUUGAGGACAAAUCUUUUCGAGGAAGGAGGGAAUGAUACAAACCAGCAAACCCAAUCACAUGAGAAUCAAGGAAGCAAGGAUCCAUUGGUGCUCCCUAGUGGACCAGUGACAAGGAGCAAAGCUAAGAAGCUUGAAGCAGCUAUGAACUUACACAUUCAAGAACAAGUAACACAAUAAUUGACUGAGCUUGCCUUUGGCAAAUGUCUCGUGAAGCUUGAAGACACACCUAAGCUACUCACCUCGCUUAAGGUGUGUAAUGGAGAUAGCGCUGUCUAAUUUAUUCAACAUUGAUAUGAUGGGCUUGCUAUAUUUUUAUGAUUUAACACUUGUUUUAUUUUAGCUUUGUUUGGGCUUGUAUUCUGGCCAUAUUUUAUCUUUUAAGUUUUAGAGUGUUGGGCCAUGUUUCGGGCUUAUGUUUUAAUACUUAUAUGUUAUUUUAGUGUGUGAUUGGGCUUGGGCCUUAUUUGUUUAAGUCAGGUCCAAGAAGAGUGUCUUAGGGUUUUAUUUGUUUUUCUCCUUACUAUAUAAGGAUAAGAAACAAUUAUAAGAGGCAGCUUUUUAAUCAAAAUUUCAGAAUUGUUUUCAUGCCUUUGGCGUGUAUUGCUUUGAGUGAGAGUGAGGAUUUGCUUUCAUCAAUUGCACCAGGAAUCUUGGCUAACUUACCAACUAUUCGUUAUGGCAUUUGUCAGAUUAUCAUCUAAAUCCUUCGAUCAUUGGUGUUUCAGCUUCUCUAAGUUUGGGGUGCCAUAGGAGGUGGGUUUAUCAAAUCUUUGGAUUCCAUAUCUACUUGUGCGUUUGGGUUUGAGGCUUGUGCCAUAGGGUUCCGCGUCAGUUGGUAUCAGAGCCAAAGUGAGGUAAAUUCUGAUUUAUCUCAGGAUCUAGAGUUUUUUUUUAGUUUUCCAUUUCUUCCUUGUUGAUUUCAGUGAAAGCUUGCGUAUUCAUAGCUGCACCUUCUUGAUAAAUUAUCACAUAAUCUCUUUUGGAAGAAAAUUUUGAAAUCCAAAAAAAAAAAAAACGAAAAAAAAAUCGCCUUUGCCAUAUUUAUCUUGAUCUGGCCGAAAUUGUGAUAUGCUUCCUUUUUCAUCUAUAUUUCCUUACCUAUCUCAAUUGAUUGCUGUAGUUUAUGGGAAUCAAUUUUGAAUUUUGAAUUGGGUUGAAUUCAGAUUAGGAGACAAAAGAAAUCUGCCUAUUCCUUAAGGUGCACAUUUAAGGCAACUGCAUCUAAAUCGAUUUGGUGUCAAAUCCUUCUUUUAAUGCCCAUUUUCGUCUAUGAUGCUGCACUGAGGGACAUGGGGAGCACAUGAUUGAUGAGGUGGAGGAGGCGAAUGAGACUGUUUUGGAAGUUGUAGAGGAG
rnacentral:lncRNA from 1 species